rnacentral:rRNA from 1 species
AUGUCCGUACCGAGAUCCGACACAGGUGCUCUGGCAGCGCAAGCCAAGGCCUGUCGGGAGAACCGACGUUAGGGAAUUCGGCAAGUUAGUCCCGUACCUUCGGAAGAAGGGAUGCCUGCUCUCUACGGAGCAGGUCGCAGUGACUCGGGCGCUCCGACUGUCUAAUAACAACACAGGUGACCGCAAAUCCGCAAGGACUCGUACGGUCACUGAAUCCUGCCCAGUGCGGGUAUCUGAACACCUCGUACAAGAGGACGAAGGACCCGUCAACGGCGGGGGUAACUAUGACCCUCUUAAGGUAGCGUAGUACCUUGCCGCUUCAGUAGCGGCUUGCAUGAAUGGAUAAACGAGAGCGCCACUGUCCCAACGUUGGACCCGGUGAACUGUACGUUCCAGUGCGGAGUCUGGAGACCCCCAAGGGGAAGCGAAGACCCUAUAGAGCUUUACUGCAGGCUGUCGCUGAGACGUGGUCGCCGAUGUGCAGCAUAGGUAGGAGUCAUUACACAGGUACCCGCGCUAGCGGGCCACCGAGACAGCAUUGAAAUACUACCCGUCGGUGACUGCGACUCUCACUCCGGGAGGAGUACACCGGUAGCCGGGCAGUUUGACUGGGGCGGUACGCGCUCGAAAAGAUAUCGAGCGCGCCCGAAGAUCAUCUCAGCCGGGUCGGGAAUCCGGCGAAGAGCGCAAGAGCACAAGAUGGUCUGACAGUGUCAUUCCCAACGAGUGACGCUGACGCGAAAGCGUGGUCUAGCGAACCUACGAGGCUCCGGAAUGGGGCCCGUAGAUGACAGAAAAGCUACCUUAGGGAUAACAGAGUCGUCACCCGCAAGAGCACAUAUCGACCGGGUGGCUUGCUACCUCGAUGUCGGUUCCCUCCAUCCUGCCCGUGCAGAAGCGGGCAAGGGUGAGGUUGUUCGCCUAUUAAAGGAGGUCGUGAGCUGGGUUUAGACCGUCGUGAGACAGGUCGGCUGCUAUCUAUUGGGGGUGUCAGGUACUUGACGUGAACGAACGUAUAGUACGAGAGGAACUACGUUUGGUCGCCACUGGUGUA